AUGUCUCCCGUGCCGAGCCCAAAUCAAUCACACCUUCUAGGCCAUGGAUCAAGGAAAGAGAAGCGCAUGAGGAAGGUGGAUACCUUUGCGCCGCACAACGACGGCCACCAAUGGAGGAAGUACGGCGAGAAGAAGAUCAACAACUGCAACUUUCCCAGGUACUACUACAGAUGCACCUACAAAGACAACAUGAACUGCCCGGCCACCAAACAGAUUCAGCAGAAGGAUCACAGCGACCCCCCAUUGUACCAAGUCACAUACUACAACGAGCAUUCAUGCAACAGCGCCUUCCUUGCCCUCACCCCCACAGAGUUCCAGCUGCAGACCGCAUCUGGAAAGGCAGUCUCCAUCUGCUUUGAUUCAUCCGGGGCUCAGGAGCCCGGAGCCAAUGCCAGCUCGCCAUCUUCGAGUGCGGCGCCACGCGGCACGCCUUCAGAGUGCAAGAACAAGCCCCUUGCGCUGCGUUCAGAGGCGCUUUCUUCCUGGGCCCCCGGCGUUGUGGAGCAAAAGACGGCCUGUGCUGAUCUCCAGUCCUGCAGCACCGAGUGCCAAGAUGCAUACAUUUCAGAAGACAUAGAUGCAGGGAGAUUCGGUUCUAUCAGAUUCUUCCAUUUUUUGUAA
rnacentral:rRNA from 1 species